rnacentral:siRNA from 1 species
ACCGCAACAUCAUUGACGACGUA